rnacentral:rRNA from 1 species
ACUCCUACGGGAGGCAGCAGUGGGGAAUAUUGGACAAUGGGGGCAACCCUGAUCCAGCAAUGCCGCGUGUGUGAAGAAGGCCUGCGGGUUGUAAAGCACUUUCAGAGGGGAAGAAAAAAUCGGAGCUAACACCUCCGAGCUUGACGUUACCCUUAGAAGAAGCACCGGCUAACUCCGUGCCAGCAGCCGCGGUAAUACGGAGGGUGCAAGCGUUAAUCGGAAUUACUGGGCGUAAAGCGCACGCAGGUGGCUGAGUCAGUCGAUUGUGAAAGCCCUGGGCUUAACCUGGGAAUUGCAGUCGAUACUACUCAGCUAGAGUAUGGGAGAGGGUAGUGGAAUUCCCGGUGUAGCGGUGAAAUGCGUAGAGAUC